rnacentral:rRNA from 1 species
UUGAUCUCGGAUCAGGUAGGAAUACCCGCUGAACUUAAGCAUAUCAAUCA